UACAGAGGUGGCAAGCGUUGUUCGGAUUUAUUGGGCGUAAAGGGUCCGUAGGCGGCCUGAAAAGUCGGAUGUGAAAGCCCACAGCUUAACUGUGGAAUGGCAUUCGAAACUUUCAGGCUCGAGUGUGAAAGGGGUUAAGGGAAUUCCCGGUGUAAGGGUGAAAUCUGUAGAGAUCGGGAAGAACACCAGUCGCGAAGGCGCUUAACUGGUUCACAACUGACGCUGAGGGACGAAAGCUAGGGGAGCAAACGGG
rnacentral:rRNA from 1 species